UUGGAGGGCAAGUCUGGUGCCAGCAGCCGCGGUAAUUCCAGCUCCAAUAGCGUAUAUUAAAGUUGUUGCAGUUAAAAAGCUCGUAGUUGAAUUUCGGGGUCAGUAGGUUGGUCAUGCCACUGGUAUGUACUGGUCUCACUGAUUCCUCCUUCCUGAUGAGCCGUAAUGCCAUUAAUUUGGUGUUGCGAGGAAUCUGGACUGUUACUUUGAAAAAAUUAGAGUGUUUAAAGCAAGCUAACGCUUGAAUACAUUAGCAUGGAAUAAUGAAAUAGGACGUUCGAUCCUAUUUUGUUGGUUUCUAGGAUUGACGUAAUGAUUAAUAGGGAUAGUUGGGGGCAUUAGUAUUCAAUUGUCAGAGGUGAAAUUCUUGGAUUUAUUGAAGACUAACUACUGCGAAAGCAUUUGCCAAGGAUGUUUUCAUUAAUCAAGAACGAAAGUUAGGGGAUCGAAGACGAUCAGAUACCGUCGUAGUCUUAACCAUAAACUAUGCCGACUAGGGAUCGGAUGAUGUUAAUUUUUUAAUGACUCAUUCGGCGCCUUACGGGGAAACCAAAGUGUUUGGGUUC
rnacentral:rRNA from 1 species